GACGAACGCUGGCGGCGUGCUUAACACAUGCAAGUCGAACGGAAAGGCUCCAGCUUGCUGGAGUACUCGAGUGGCGAACGGGUGAGUAACACGUGGGCAAUCUGCCCUGCACUCUGGGAUAAGCCUGGGAAACUGGGUCUAAUACUGGAUAGGACCUUUCUCCUCAUGGGGUUUGGUGGAAAGUUUUUCGGUGCAGGAUGAGCCCGCGGCCUAUCAGCUUGUUGGUGGGGUAAUGGCCUACCAAGGCGACGACGGGUAGCCGGCCUGAGAGGGUGAUCGGCCACAUUGGGACUGAGAUACGGCCCAGACUCCUACGGGAGGCAGCAGUGGGGAAUAUUGCACAAUGGGCGGAAGCCUGAUGCAGCGACGCCGCGUGAGGGAUGACGGCCUUCGGGUUGUAAACCUCUUUCAGUAGGGACGAAGCGUAAGUGACGGUACCUGCAGAAGAAGCACCGGCUAACUACGUGCCAGCAGCCGCGGUAAUACGUAGGGUGCGAGCGUUGUCCGGAAUUACUGGGCGUAAAGAGCUCGUUGGCGGUUUGUCACGUCGUCUGUGAAAUCCUAGGGCUUAACCCUGGACGUGCAGGCGAUACGGGCUGACUUGAGUACUACAGGGGAGACUGGAAUUUCUGGUGUAGCGGUGGAAUGCACAGAUAUCAGGAAGAACACCGAUGGCGAAGGCAGGUCUCUGGGUAGUAACUGACGCUGAGGAGCGAAAGCAUGGGUAGCGAACAGG
rnacentral:rRNA from 1 species